rnacentral:rRNA from 1 species
UACGUAGGGGGCAAGCGUUGUCCGGAUUUAUUGGGCGUAAAGAGCGUGUAGGCGGCUUUACAGGUCCGUUGUGAAAACUCGAGGCUCAACCUCGAGACGCCGGUGGAAACCGUAAAGCUAGAGUCCGGAAGAGGAGAGUGGAAUUCCUGGUGUAGCGGUGGAAUGCGCAGAUAUCAGGAGGAACACCAACGGCGAAGGCAGCUCGCUGGGACGGUACUGACGCUGAGGCGCGAAAGCGUGGGGAGCAAACAGG